CCUACGGGAGGCAGCAGUGGGGAAUUUUGCACAAUGGGCGCAAGCCUGAUGCAGCCAUGCCGCGUGAGUGAAGAAGGCCCUAGGGUUGUAAAACUCUUUCACCGGUUAGGAUAAUGACGCAAACCGGAGAAGAAACCCCGGCUAACUCCGUGCCAGCAGCCGCGGUAAU
rnacentral:rRNA from 1 species